UACGUAGGUGGCAAGCGUUGUCCGGGUUUACUGGGCGUAAAGAGCGCGCAGGCGGUCGAUCAAGUCGCGUGUGAAAGCCCCCGGCUCAACUGGGGAGGGUCACGCGAUACUGAUCGACUCGAAGGCAGGAGAGGGUAGUGGAAUUCCCGGUGUAGUGGUGAAAUGCGUAGAUAUCGGGAGGAACACCAGUGGCGAAGGCGACUACCUGGCCUGUUUCUUGACGCUGAGGCGCGAAAGCUAGGGGAGCAAACGGG
rnacentral:rRNA from 1 species